rnacentral:rRNA from 1 species
GUGAGGAAUAUUGGUCAAUGGACGGAAGUCUGAACCAGCCAUGCCGCGUGCAGGAAUAAGGUCCUAUGGAUUGUAAACUGCUUUUAUUCGGGAAUAAACCUCUUUACGUGUAGGGAGCUGAAGGUACCGAAGGAAUAAGCACCGGCUAACUCCGUGCCAGCAGCCGCGGUAAUACGGAGGGUGCAAGCGUUAUCCGGAAUCAUUGGGUUUAAAGGGUCCGCAGGCGGUCUUAUAAGUCAGUGGUGAAAGCCUACAGCUCAACUGUAGAACUGCCAUUGAUACUGUAGGACUUGAGUUCGAUCGAAGUGGGCGGAAUGUGACAUGUAGCGGUGAAAUGCUUAGAUAUGUCACAGAACACCGAUAGCGAAGGCAGCUCACUAGGUCUGGAUUGACGCUCAGGGACGAAAGCGUGGGGAGCAAACAGGAUUAGAAACCCCUGUAGUCC